AACAUAGCAGGUUAAGAGGAGUAGGUUAAGGUUAGGAGAAUUAACAUAGCAGGUUAAGAGGAGUAGGUUAAGGUUAGGAGAAUUAACAUAGCAGGUUAAGAUGAGUAGGUUAAGGUCAGGAUAAUUAACAUAGCAGGUUAAGAGGAGUAGGUUAAGGUUAGGAGAAUUAACAUAGCAGGUUAAGAUGAGUAGGUUAAGGUCAGGAUAAUUAACAUAGCAGGUUAAGAGGAGUAGGUUAAGGUUAGGAGAAUUAACAUAGCAGGUUAAGAUGAGUAGGUUAAGGUCAGGAUAAUUAACAUAGCAGGUUAAGGUUAGGAAAAGGGAAAGGGUUAGCUAAAAUGCAGCAACAAAAAUACUUUUGAUGUCAAUUUAAUUCCAUGGUGAAAUGUGAUUUUGCAUACUAGUAACAUGAUUGACGGUGAAAUGUGAUUUUGCAUACUAGUAACAUGAUUGACGGUGAAAUGUGAUUUUGCAUACUAGUAACAUGAUUGAUAGUGAAAUGUGACUUUGCAUACUAGUAACAUGAUUGAUAGUGAAAUGUCAGAAUUGAUUUUUGUUUAACGAACCUGUUCGUUCUCACACUUGGUGUAAAUCUUUGCAUUCACCAUCACAUGUACUUGAAAUUAUAUUGUGAAAUACAUUUUCAUUAUAAUGCUAUUGAAAUUGUACAAUUCUUCCAAUGUCCCAUACCAUAUACCUUUUUAUGAAAUUGUGCACAUGAAUAGAUAUUAAGUUAACUUUGAAUGACCGUAAAUUGAACCUUUACAGCCUACGGACUUUGUUGAUGUCAGUCUUCAUUGGAGACUACCUGUGCUGAGGUACAUCGCCAGACGUAAAAUCAAUUCAUGUCAAUGUGGCACUAAGCUGUUUUUGCCUUUCCCUUUUUGUUUGCUGUCACAAUUUACCGAACUAUAAUAAUUAAUAAGUGAUUAAUAAGGAGCAUCCAGACGUUGCACAAACAAUUUAUUUGUAACUAUAAUGAAAAAAGAUAAAUGCAACAUGUAAAGUU